rnacentral:misc_RNA from 1 species
AAAUCAGUUUCCUGGAACGCCCUCUUGCAUUCAUCAAGCAACAUUUUCAGCUGAUUUACCAAUUGAAAAACCAUAUCAUGCCGAUUCAAAACCAAACAAACUGUCAUAAACCGAGCAAGAAACCGAAGUUGCUUGUUGGAAAGAUUAACAUCCUGAAACAUCCCAUCUUUAAAGUACUCCCUAGUCAACACUGCCUCAUAAAAGAUAUAUGACUCAGAUAAAUAGCUGGCUUCACUUGUCCUCAUGUACUGGCCAAAAUAAAGCUGACCAAUUCUAGAUGCAAUAUCCCCAAUCUCCCAUCUCUUGAGA